AUGGGCAGCACCUUUCAGAGAUACAAGAUUCUACGUGGCUACAAAAGGAAAGGAGUGAAGGGAAAUCAUGCUCUGUUCUAUUAUCAGUUACAAGAGAAUGAAGGAAGAGUGAGACUCCUGUGGUUCACUGGAGGGAGGAGAAGAGAACCAAAUCUUUCCAGAAUGCCACUUCAUCCUUGCUCCCAGCAAGAGCUUAGUUUUUCUGGCUUUCACAACACUAAAGCAAAACAGAAGCUUUCCUGAAGAUAUGGGCAUUCCUUGUUACAGUCCACUCUUCCAAGUUCUUCAUGUGCUGUGGAGGUGUUAAC
rnacentral:lncRNA from 1 species